GCCGGUAUAGCUCAGGCGUUAGAGCGCAUGCUUAGCACACACGAAGUCCUGGGUUUAAUCCCCAGUAUCUCCU
rnacentral:tRNA from 1 species